rnacentral:miRNA from 1 species
CCAGUCCUCAUGGACCACCAACAGUCCAGGUUUUGCCAGUAUAUCCAUUAGAAUAAAAAAGUGAAAUACAUAAAUCCUGGACUGUUGGUGGUCCAUGAGGACUG